AGGACAUUUUUCACUGUCUGCAAAACUGGGAAGACACAGAGGGAGAGGCAAAAGAGCCUGCUCCCUCCGGACCUGCUCUCCCCUCCCCCUCCUCCUCCUCCUCCCUCACCAGGAAAGCGACGGUGCCUCUGGGUCCUAGCUGCUCCCACUGCAGCGGCAGACCACGGAGAGCUGCCCCAGACACCUGCUGCCCUUUUCUCUCCGUGAACCUGGAGAGGAGGUUCCCCGUUGCAGUGAGCAUGAAAAACCCAGACCUGAAAGGGAGGGCGUGUUUUCACAGCACCUUCUCCUCGUCAGCCUCUUUCCAACGCUCCUGAAAACCGGCUCUGAAAAGAUCUGCUCUGUUCAGACAACGACUAACCGGGCUCCUCACCCAGAGCCCGAGGGUGAGGGAGAGGAAAACCGUGUCAUUAAGUUUGAGGGACAGGCCUUGGAGAGGCACAGAGACACAGGACCUCAGUGCGGGAUCACGAAGUCCAGACUUUCUGGUUUACAAGGGAAGCUGUUAUGGCCCAGAGAGGGCUGGUCUGAGAUGAUACAGACUCCCCAGGUCCUGAGUGAGUACCACGACACCACGAAGGGUUGUGCAUGUGCUUGAGUCUUCUAAUUUUACUUUUUGUGGCUCUCCAGUGAAUCACAAGCUCUUUGAGAUAGUAUAAGAUGGAGGUUAGGGACGUGGGCUUUGGAAUCAGACAGAUGUGAGUUCGAAACCUGACUCUACCAGCACUGGGAACAUGGAAUUGUCACUGCCUGAUCUUGGCCCACAGACCUUGAGACUAGGUCCAGAUUUUACCACCAAACUGACCAUCCAGGGGUUCCAGGACUGGUCUCUGGACCUUUGCUUUGAAUGCUGCAGAAUUCCCAGAAGAACCCACAACUGAGAUCUGGCUGACAGGGAUGGAGCUCCAGUAACUCACCAGGGAAGACACCUGCUCCUCUUACUGCAACUGCAGGAUGAUAUAGACAGGAGUGUCCCCAGCCACUCUGAGCACACCUAACAGGUCUGCGGUUUAAGCCAGUCAAGGUUCGUCCAUGGAGCUGGGAGUAGGGUCAGUUUUUCCCAAUGCAUAUGGUGAAGGUAGAUACUUGAAUGAAAAUCAAACUUCUCUUUCCAAGAGGUAGGGGAAAUGUAUGCUGAGUUGCCUGAACAGAAAAUGCACCCUUAAAAAACAUCUUCCAGGUUCCCCAACCCUCAGCCCAUGGUAGCCAUCACUCUACUCUCUGUUUCAGUGAGUUCUUUAUAUCUUUUGGAUAUUAAACUUUUACCUGAUAUAUGGUUUGCAAAUAUUUUUUCCCAUUCUAUAGGUUACUACAAGUGGGGAGAGAGGCUGCAUACUCAGGGGACAGGUAGAGAGAAAAGAACUUUGGGGCAUCUGUGGUCCGAGAACAAUGACCCAUCCAAGGACAGUUAUUGGGAGAAUAUGAUGUCGACAAUCAAUUCUGAGCUCACUCAUAGUUGCACAUCUCCAGGGACACAGACUUAAGCAGAACCACAUCCUGCCUUUAGAUAUUAGAAGGAAGUGCUGUGUAUGUCUAAGUCAAAGCUAGUCCCACCAAGGAACAGAAGCUUCUCAGAAAGAAUGCCCUGGUUGAUCUGUUUCCAGCCAUCUUAGAAACAAGCCAUUCCUCUUUCUGACUGAUGGCAGUACUACUCCUGCUUCUGGUUUAGAGAACAGAGCUCAGAGAUGGG